rnacentral:rRNA from 1 species
AUUGAACGCUGGCGGCAGGCUUAACACAUGCACGUCGAACGAGUGGCGGACGGGUGAGUAAUGCUUGGGAAUCUGGCUUAUGGAGGGGGAUAACGCCGGGAAACUGUCGCUAAUACCGCAUACCCUAGGAUGAGCCCAAGUGGGAUUAGGUAGUUGGUGGGGUAAUGGCCUACGAAGCCGACGAUCUCUCGCUGGUCUGCGAGGAUGACCAGCCACACCGGGACUGAGACACGGCCCGUACUCCUACGGGAGGCAGCAGUGGGGAAGAUUGCGCAAUGGGGGCAACCUGACGCAGCCAUGCCGCGUGAGUGAAGAAGGCCUUCGGGUUGUAAAGCACUUUCGGUGACGAGGCGUUAAUCGCAGAAGAAGCACCGGCUAACUCCGUGCCAGCAGCCGCGGUAAUAC